CAUGGCCUUUUGGCUCAGGUUUGACACUAUUCGGUGAACAGUUUAGCUCGUAAACAAAACUAUAGGGCGGUAAUGAGGAGUUCAGGACAGACCGGGUAAAAUACUUUCAUGCUGCAGUGCUGAAACUGGGUUCAGCUGGUAUGGGCCACUUCAUUACACUUGAGAGCAGGACGCAGGAGGUGUACCUGCUUGCCAGGAGGGACCAACACAGAGAUGAAGACUUUGGAGAGAAAUAGAAGGAGAGGAAGAACGACAAGUUCAGGUCACACAUAAAAGGCACCACUGAUCCAGGGUUACUGAAGGGAGUCCUUCCUAGCCUGAUCGGCACAGUCAGUCAUCUGACCACUGAGCUGGCUCUGUCCCACGGCCAGACAGCCAUUAUGAAGACUGACUGGUCACAGCAGCGCCCACACACUUGGCAGGCUGGCAGACCUCCCCCCUGUUGCCUCUUUCAAACAACCCCCUCCUCUAA